UUGACCUCAAAUCGGGUAGGACUACCCGGUGAACUUACGCAUAUCAAU
rnacentral:rRNA from 1 species